rnacentral:rRNA from 1 species
AGAGUUUGAUCCUGGCUCAGAUUGAACGCUGGCGGAAUGCUUUACACAUGCAAGUCGAACGGCAGCACGGGGGCAACCCUGGUGGCGAGUGGCGAACGGGUGAGUAAUACAUCGGAACGUGCCCAGUCGUGGGGGAUAACUACGCGAAAGCGUAGCUAAUACCGCAUACGAUCUACGGAUGAAAGCGGGGGAUCGCAAGACCUCGCGCGAUUGGAGCGGCCGAUGGCAGAUUAGGUAGUUGGUGGGGUAAAGGCUCACCAAGCCUGCGAUCUGUAGCUGGUCUGAGAGGACGACCAGCCACACUGGGACUGAGACACGGCCCAGACUCCUACGGGAGGCAGCAGUGGGGAAUUUUGGACAAUGGGCGCAAGCCUGAUCCAGCCAUUCCGCGUGCAGGAUGAAGGCCUUCGGGUUGUAAACUGCUUUUGUACGGAACGAAAAGCCUUGCUCUAAUACAGCGAGGUCAUGACGGUACCGAAAGAAUAAGCACCGGCUAACUACGUGCCAGCAGCCGCGGUAAUAC